GGGGCAGCAUGGUCUUAGCCUGCUAAGGCUGAUGGCGACCGGCGCACGGGUGAGUAACACGUAUCCAACCUGCCGUCUACUCUUGGCCAGCCUUCUGAAAGGAAGAUUAAUCCAGGAUGGCAUCAUGAGCUCACAUGUCCGCAUGAUUAAAGGUAUUUUCCGGUAGACGAUGGGGAUGCGUUCCAUUAGAUAGUAGGCGGGGUAACGGCCCACCUAGUCAACGAUGGAUAGGGGUUCUGAGAGGAAGGUCCCCCACAUUGGAACUGAGACACGGUCCAAACUCCUACGGGAGGCAGCAGUGAGGAAUAUUGGUCAAUGGGCGAUGGCCUGAACCAGCCAAGUAGCGUGAAGGAUGACUGCCCUAUGGGUUGUAAACUUCUUUUAUAAAGGAAUAAAGUCGGGUAUGCAUACCCGUUUGCAUGUACUUUAUGAAUAAGGAUCGGCUAACUCCGUGCCAGCAGCCGCGGUAAUACGGAGGAUCCGAGCGUUAUCCGGACUUAUUGGGUUUAAAGGGAGCGUAGAUGGAUGUUUAAGUCAGUUGUGAAAGUUUGCGGCUCAACCGUAAAGUUGCAGUUGAUACUGGAUGUCUUGAGUGCAGUUGAGGCAGGCGGAAUUCGUGGUGUAGCGGUGAAAUGCUUAGAUAUCACGAAGAACUCCG
rnacentral:rRNA from 1 species